rnacentral:rRNA from 1 species
CCUACGGGAGGCAGCAGUGGGGAAUUUUGGACAAUGGGCGCAAGCCUGAUCCAGCCAUGCCGCGUGCGGGAAGAAGGCCUUCGGGUUGUAAACCGCUUUUGUCAGGGAAGAAAUCCUUUGGGCUAAUACCUCGGAGGGAUGACGGUACCUGAAGAAUAAGCACCGGCUAACUACGUGCCAGCAGCCGCGGUAAUACGUAGGGUGCGAGCGUUAAUCGGAAUUACUGGGCGUAAAGCGUGCGCAGGCGGUUAUGCAAGACAGAUGUGAAAUCCCCGGGCUUAACCUGGGAACUGCAUUUGUGACUGCAUAGCUCGAGUACGGCAGAGGGGGAUGGAAUUCCGCGUGUAGCAGUGAAAUGCGUAGAUAUGCGGAGGAACACCGAUGGCGAAGGCAAUCCCCUGGGCCUGUACUGACGCUCAUGCACGAAAGCGUGGGGAGCAAACAGGAUUAGAUACCCUGGUAGUCCACGCCCUAAACGAUGUCAACUGGUUGUUGGACGGCUUGCUGUUCAGUAACGAAGCUAACGCGUGAAGUUGACCGCCUGGGGUGGUACGGCGCGAGUAGUUAAGUUAAAGUAAGUUGNGGNGNGAGAGNGCGAGACGACGACGAGGAGGAGG